rnacentral:misc_RNA from 1 species
UCUCCGUUGGUGAACCAGCGGAGGGAUCAUUAUUGAGUUACUGAACUCCCAAACCCGUGUGAACUUACCACUGUUGCUUCGGCGGUCACGCCCCGGGAGCCCUGCGCGGCCCGGAGUCAGGCGUCCGCCGGAGGACCAAAAAUUCUAGCUGUUUUUGUACCAUCUGAGUCUUCCACAAAUAAACAAAACUUUCAACAACGGAUCUCUUGGUUCUG